GUCCACGCUGUAAACGAUGAAUACUAGGUGUCGGAUCGAAAGGUUCGGUACCGUAGCUAACGCAUUAAGUAUUCCACCUGGGGAGUACGAUCGCAAGGUUGAAACUCAAAGGAAUUGACGGGGGCCCCGCACAAGCAGUGGAGCAUGUGGUUUAAUUCGAUGCAACGCGAAGAACCUUACCUAGGCUUGAAAUGCAGUAGACCGGGUAUGAAAGUACCCUUCCCUUCGGGGCUGCUGUACAGGUGCUGCAUGGCUGUCGU
rnacentral:rRNA from 1 species